GGAGGGAUGGCUGAAUUGGUAAAAGCGGAGCUUUGCUAAAGCUUUGUCGGUGACGACACGCAGGUUCGAACCCUGUUCCCUCCU
rnacentral:tRNA from 1 species